GUAAAAAUGGCUGAGCUAGGCAUUUGAACUGUAAAUUCAAAGACAGAGAAUAACAUCUCUUUUUACC
rfam:Monodelphis domestica cont3.066439, whole genome shotgun sequence.